ACUCCUUCUGGCCCCUGUCCUCCCUCCUCCAACAACGACGCGGUAGCAAGACAGCUGUUCCCAGAAUCUGCUUUGAAUUAAAAAGUGGUGUGGCCCUUUAAGAGAAGCAUCUGCCGCCCCCGCCCCCGCUGCCCCCUUUGAUGUCGCUGGCGCUGAAAGGCUCCCAGUGACGAGAUCUGAGGGUUUGUUUCUGCCUCCCUAGGGGCCACGUGCAGAUCACAGGGUGGGAGGGAGGAUGGGCCGAAGGUCACAUGGCCCGGCCUCCCUGGCCUGCAGCCGCUAUUGCAGCCGGCACUGGGGACCAGCAGGCUGCACGGAUGGGGACCAGCUGGCCUGGAGCUCAUUAGGGCGCGAAGGAGCCAGCAGCUGGCAGAGCCCAGGGGGAGCCCUCUGGCCCUCCCCAUGGGGCCUGACCUCCCCAGGCCCUUCCUCACCUGUACGGCAGGGGUGGGGCACGCGCUGGCGCCCUGGGGACACCUGCGACACCCUGGGAAGCCCCAUCUCCGCAGAUCUUCCAGAAGCACCUCCUAUCCCCAUCCCCUUCCUCCUGCCAGCUUUGGAGGGUGGCCGUUCCCAGCUUCUGCUGGUCCUGCCUCAUUUCCUGUUCCCACGACCCUGGGAGGCACGCGCUGUUCUUGUCGCCACUUUACAGGUAAAAUUCACAUAACCUAAAACCAAUCACUUUAAAGUACACAAUUCCGCGGCAUUGAGUUCAUGCACAGGUGCAACUGCAGCCUCGACCGAUUCCAGAAUAUUUUCGUCACUCGUCCCCUCUUCCUCCAUGUGCCCUGGCAACCAGCAGUCUGCUUUCUGGCUCUGUGGAUUCGCCCAUUCUGGCCAUUUCGCACGAACGGAAUCAAAAUAUGUGGCCUUUUGUAUCUGGCUUCUCUCCCUCGGCUUCACGUUUCUAGGAUUCACUCAUUACGAAGCGCGUGUCGAUGCUUCCUUUUUAUGUCUGAAUGGUAUAGACCACGUUUUGUCCAUCCGUUCCCUUGUGGGUGGACGUCCGGGUUUUCCACCUUUUGACGACUGUACGUACUGGCGCCACGGACGGUGCCAUACAGGCUUUUGUUGGGACACCUGUUUUCAAUUGUUUUGAGAAUAUACCUGGGCAUGGGAUGGCUAGAUCACACGAUAAUUCCGUUUAACCCACCGAGGAGCCACCAAACUGUCUCCCGCAGUGGCUGACCCAUUUUACGUUCCCGCCAGCGGCGCACACACGUCCUCCGUGCGUCCCCGGCCAAUGCCUGUCCUUUCCUGUGUUUCUGACCGCGCCCCAUCCUCCUGGCUGCGAGAUGGUAUCUGACCCGUUGCUGCUCGGCCGAGGGUCUGCCCUCCUCCGUGGCCUCGGGGCUGGGUGCGUCUGCCUGGAAGAGGAGGCCCAGCGCUGGGCAGCCUGAAGGGCCGCUGUCCUGGGAGGACCCGGCAGAGUGCAGGCGCUGCAAUCUCUGAGUGCGGGAGUCUGGGGCGCAGAAGGCACAGCUGGCCCCUCGGGGGGCCGGCAGGGAGAGGACAGAGUCAGUGUGUCACAGCCAACUGCUGCGGCAGGUCAGGGUCGCACGGAGCAGGAAUGGCGAAGGCGGAGACACAGACAGACGGACGGGCAGGAACGUUCCAGGGAAAGCUUUUCGCUUCUGCUAGUUAUGUCGAAUAAACCAAAACAAGAACUCGUUUUGGUUCAAUGUGCAGGCUAAAACGCAUUACGGCAAACACCGGCGAGUACAACAUGCGUGCUCUCCCCUCGUCCCGGAAUUU